rnacentral:rRNA from 1 species
UACGAGGGGUCCAAGCGUUAAUCGGAAUUACUGGGCGUAAAGCGUACGCAGGCGGUUUGUUAAGCGAGAUGUGAAAGCCCCGGGCUCAACCUGGGAACUGCAUUUCGAACUGGCAGACUAGAGUCUUGUAGAGGGGGUAGAAUUUCAGGUGUAGCGGUGAAAUGCGUAGAGAUCUGAAGGAAUACCGGUGGCGAAGGCGGCCCCCUGGACAAAGACUGACGCUCAUGUACGAAAGCGUGGGGAGCAAACAGG